rnacentral:rRNA from 1 species
AUUGAACGCUGGCGGCAGGCCUAACACAUGCAAGUCGAACGAGUGGCGGACGGGUGAGUAAUGUCUGGGAAACUGCCUGAUGGAGGGGGAUAACUACUGGAAACGGUAGCUCAUACCGCAUACCAUCGGAUGUGCCAAGAUGGGAUUAGCUAGUCGGGGGGGUAAAGGCGAACCUAGGCGACGAUCCCUAGCUGGUCUUAGAGGAUGACAUGCCAAACGGGAACGGAGACACGGUCCAGACUCCUACGGGAGGCAGCAUUGGGGAAUAUUGCACAAUGGGCGAAAGCCUGAUGCAGCCAUGCCGCGUGGAUGAAGAAGGCCUUCGGGUUGUAAAGUACUUUCAGCGGGGAGGCGUUACCCGCAGAAGAAGCACCGGCUAACUCCGUGCCAGCAGCCGCGGUAAUUC